rnacentral:tRNA from 1 species
GCAGUGGUGAUUCAGUGGUAGAGUUUUCACCUUCCAGAUGAGAGACCCAGGUUCCACUGCUGGCCAGUGCC